GAGAGAGCACGGCUGCUGUGCUCUCAGGAGCACGGAGGCCACGAUCGGCUUCGUUAGACUUGAUCUAGCGUAUUUGAAGUAUGUAGAAAAUAAAUUUUAUGAUUUUUCGAUAUUAUUUACUUAGUGAUUGAAAGGGUCCAAAAUCAACGACUGAAAAUAAAAAUCUCAUAAAAAGUGAUGAUAUAGUACUAAAAUUUUCGAUCAGAGAUAUUGAACUUGUUGUAGAUAGUAUAAAUAAUUUUCUAUCAGAAUUUCAUCUGAUUUGGAUACUUCUACACCGUUAAACUUAAAACGGCAGAUAUCGACCAUUAAAAAUUGUUGAUUUUGAAUCUUUUCGAUCACUAAGUAAACGAUAUCGAAAAAUCGCAAAAUUUAUUUUCUACAUACUUCAAAUAUGCUAGGUCAAGUCUAGCGGAGCCGAUCGUCGAUUCGGGAGUCCCAUCAUCAAAAAAGGCUCAGGAGCACGGAGCCUGAAGGCUCCGUGCUCCUGAGAGCACACAAGACCUAUUCAUGUAGAGCAGGGCUGCUGUGCUCUCAGGAGUACAGAGCCCUCUGUGCUCUUGAGCUGUUUUCGAUUAUGGAACUUCCGAAUCGAUGAUCGGCUCCGCUAGACUUGAUCUAGCAUAUUUCAUUAUAGAAAAUAAAAUAAAUAAAAAAUAAAAUUAAAUAUAUAUAUAUUAUAUAUAAUAAUUAUAUAUAUAUUAUAAGAAUAUAAUAUAUAUAUUAUAUAUUAAAUAAACAUAUAUAACACGGCUCUGCUCCAGACACGGAGCCUCCGUGCUCCGAGCCGUUCGAUGAUUGAGUUUCGAUCGACGACGCUUCUCGUUAAACUUGAUCUCCGUAUUUAAGUCUAAAAAAAUUUUUUAUGAUUUUCGAUAUCAUUUACUCAAGCAAUCUAUAAGAUCAAAAUCAAUAAUUUUUAAACGCUGAAAAUUAAAAAUCCUAUAAAAUAGUGAUAAGCAAUAAUUUCGAUCCGAAUAAUAUAUCUGUAGAUAGAAUCAAGAAUUUCUAUCAACACUUUCAUCUAUUAAAUACUUACUAUAAUCCCGUAAACUUGAAAACGCAAAAUAUCAACCAUUAAAAAAUUAUGGAUAUUGAAUCUUCGAUCAACUAAUAAAUGAUAUCGAAAAUCGCAAAAAUUAUUUUCUAGAAACUUCAAAUCGGCUAGAUCAAGUCUAACGGACCUGACGUGCGAUUCCGAAAAUUCCAUCAUGAAAACGCUCAGACACGAGCCUACGCUCCCUGAAAGACCCCACAAAAAAAAGCACCCCUGCUCUAUAUAUAUACUUAUAUAUAAUAUAUAUAUAUAUAUAUAUUAGGCUGCGGCCUCUCAGGACACAGAGGCCUCCGUGCUCCUGAGUCGUUUUCGAUGAUGAAGUUUCCGAAUUGACGAUCAGCUCCGUUAAAUUUGAUCUAGCAUAUUUGAAGUUUUUAGAAAAUAAUUUUUGCAAUUUUUCAAUAUCAUUUAUCUAGCAAUCGAAAUAAUUCGAAAUUAAUAAUUUUUAACGGCUGAAAAUAAAAAUCCUAUAAAAAGUGGUGAUAUAGUACUAAAAUUUUCGAUCAGAAAUAUUGAUCUUGUUGUAGAUAGUAUAAAAAAUUUUGUAUCAAAAUUUCAUCUGAUUUGAAUACUUCUACACCGUUAAACUUGAAAACGACAGAUAUCAAUCAUUAAAAAUUAAGGAUUUUGAAUCCUUUCGAUCACUCGGUAAUGAUAUCAAAAUAUCGCAAAAAAUAUUUUCUGGAAACUUCAAAUGCGCUAGAUCAAGUCUAACGGAGCCGAUCGUCGAUUCGAAAAUUCCAUCAUCGAAAACAGCUCAGGAGCAUAGAGGCCUCCGUGCUCCUGAGAGCACAGCAGCCCUGCUCUAUAUAUAUAUAUAUAUAUAUAUAUAUAUAUAUAUUAGAGAUA
rnacentral:lncRNA from 1 species